rnacentral:rRNA from 1 species
ACUCAAAUGAAUAGACGGGGGCUCACACAAGCGGUGGAUGAUGUGGCUCAAUUCGAGGCUACGCGAAGAACCUUAUCCUAGUCUUGACAUGCUUAGGAAUCCCUCUGAAAGGAGGGAGUGCCCGCAAGGGAGCCUUUGCACAGGUGCUGCAUGGCUGUCGUCAGCUCGUGUCGUGAGAUGUCGCGUUAAGUCGCUUAACGAGCGAAACCCUUGUCCUUAGUUACCAGCGGGUCAUGCCGGGAACUCUAAGGAUACUGCCGGUGUUAAACCGGAGGAAGGUGGGGAUGACGUCAAGUCCUCAUGGCCUUUAUGACUAGGGCUGCACACGUCAUACAAUGGCAUGCACAAAGGGAUGCAAAAUCGUGAGAUCGAGCAAACCCCAAAAAACAUGCCUCAGUUCGGAUUGUAGGCUGCAACCCGCCUACAUGAAGCUGGAAUCGCUAGUAAUCGCGGGUCAGCAUACCGCGGUGAAUGUGUUCCUGAGCCUUGCACACACCGCCCGU